rnacentral:rRNA from 1 species
CGUACACUCCUACGGGAGGCAGCAGUGGGGAAUAUUGCACAAUGGGCGCAAGCCUGAUGCAGCCAUGCCGCGUGUAUGAAGAAGGCCUUCGGGUUGUAAAGUACUUUCAGCGGGGAGGAAGGCGAUAAGGUUAAUAACCUUGUUGAUUGACGUUACCCGCAGAAGAAGCACCGGCUAACUCCGUGCCAGCAGCCGCGGUAAUACGGAGGGUGCAAGCGUUAAUCGGAAUUACUGGGCGUAAAGCGCACGCAGGCGGUCUGUCAAGUCGGAUGUGAAAUCCCCGGGCUCAACCUGGGAACUGCAUUCGAAACUGGCAGGCUAGAGUCUUGUAGAGGGGGGUAGAAUUCCAGGUGUAGCGGUGAAAUGCGUAGAGAUCUGGAGGAAUACCGGUGGCGAAGGCGGCCCCCUGGACAAAGACUGACGCUCAGGUGCGAAAGCGUGGGGAGCAAACAGGAUUAGAUACCCCAGUAGUCCCAUG